AAUGAACGCUGGCGGCAGGCCUAACACAUGCAAGUCGAGCGAGCAUUUCGGUGCUAGCGGCGGACGGGUGAGUAACGCGUGGGAACGUGCCCUUUUCUGCGGAAUAGUCCUGGGAAACUGGGGGUAAUACCGCAUACGCCCUUUUGGGGAAAGAUUUAUCGGAGAAGGAUCGGCCCGCGUUGGAUUAGGUAGUUGGUGGGGUAAUGGCCCACCAAGCCGACGAUCCAUAGCUGGUUUGAGAGGAUGAUCAGCCACACUGGGACUGAGACACGGCCCAGACUCCUACGGGAGGCAGCAGUGGGGAAUCUUAGACAAUGGGGGCAACCCUGAUCUAGCCAUGCCGCGUGAGUGAUGAAGGUCUUAGGGUUGUAAAGCUCUUUCAGCUGGGAAGAUAAUGACGGUACCAGCAGAAGAAGCCCCGGCUAACUCCGUG
rnacentral:rRNA from 1 species